GUGCUAGCUUCGGCAGCACCUACACUAAAAUUGAGACAAUGCACAGAAGGUCAGCGUGGCCACCACGCAGGGAUGACACGUGAAGGUGUGCUGCGAUCUGUAUUAUU
ensembl:snRNA U6 U6 spliceosomal RNA